GCCAGCGGCAAUAGAACGUUGAAUGCAUCUAUUCCCAAUAAAUCACUCAAGUUAAGCAACGUUGUGCGCGGUUAGUAACCGGAUGGGUGACCAUGUGGGCAAUUGCGUGCUUUCU
rnacentral:rRNA from 1 species